CCUUGAACUCACCGUAUAGUUUGUUUACAUGUAUUGAUUGAUAUAACUUUUUCCGACUUCCUAGGACGUGUUUUAUGCCACUUUUUCUGUCUCAUUUUGUCCACCACACUUUUAACGUUGUGCGUGAGUGCACAAAGGAUCGGAUCGAAAUCCACACCCCGACGUAUGAUAUUUCCAAAAUAUCCGACACACAGGAAAUACAAGACUUCUAUUGGUGUUGGAGCCCUGCCUGACACAAGCCGCUCAAGGAAAGUUGAGCGCAGGGCCACAGACUUGAUGCCUUUGGAGAGACCCAGCAUGGACUUUGGACUGGGGACCAGGUUGAAGGGCACCGGCAGCGUUCUUCCCUCCUCAAAGUAGGAGAACCAGAGUUUAGCCCGGGCAAACUUCCACUCCACGUCGGCGUCGUCCUGCAAAGGACCACAGAGUUGCUGACAGGAAGGCAGAAACUCACCCGAGCCAUCGUCCUGGGCAACUGUUCUCCCCCGGGAAGUGGUGGUCGUCCCGGCUCCUGGCCCGCGGGCUGUCCGCCGCCUGCCUGUGGUUCAUCGGAGAGUCUGAAGGGAUCAUCAUGUCGUGCAGAGCCGCAAAGACCCUGGAAAACACCCCAAAACCUGCAAGGUGUCCAAAGCCGUCCACGUGGGCCGCCCAGGGUCGCUUGAAGUCCAUCAGGCCUUCGGUCCUGCGCUGCAUCACCGUCCAGCCCCCGCCCAUGUAGUCCAUCUCGCAGAAGACCUGAGGGGGUGUGGCAGGUGAGGCCAGCGCUCCUUGGCGUGGAGGACAGCGUUACCUCGAAGGACGAGUCCGAGUGGUCCGGGCUGACGAUGUAAAUCCCGCUGGGGAUCUUGGGGACCAGGGACAUCAGACUGUCUUUGAUGUCGCUGCAGUCUCGCCCUCAACACAGAAACACAGGUGACCUUUUUUUCAUCACCUUUCUUCACCUGGAAUGUGGCGCCGCCCUGCUGGUGGGCGUGUGUUACCGUGCGAUAGAGGAGGUUUGGCGGCGAACAUGUCGGCGUUGCUCCGCUGCACCUCCGCGCUGAGCGCCUGCACUUUGUUCAUCACCUCGGACACCUGUGACGUCAUGGCCUGUGGUUACAACCUGUGUCCAGCAGGGGGCGCCAAAGUGCGGCCCAAAGCUAUUUUUUUUCCCUUCAUUCUAAAAAUACUAUUUUAAAAAGAGUGGGGGGGGAAAGUUGCAAUGUCGACUCUAAAAACACGACAACUGAUUUUUUUUCUUUAAAACUGUCAUUGCUCAAAAUGUAAUAAUGCAUCAAAAUCCAUGUUGUUAUUAUUGAUCUGUUCACAGCUCUAGUUCAAUCAAAUAUUUCACUUUUGUGGAAAAUAUUGCAUUUUUGAUGUGUUUUUCAUAUGAAAAACAUGUCAAAAAGUUAUAAUCAUUGACCUUGAGACUUAGGCGUUGAAAGAAAAUUAUAAUAAUUACGUAUUAAAAACAUUUUGAGUGGAUCCCCCAAAAU